rnacentral:rRNA from 1 species
UAGGGAAUCUUCGGCAAUGGGGGGAACCCUGACCGAGCAACGCCGCGAGAGUGAAGAAGGUUUUCGGAUCGUAAAGCUCUGUUGUUAAGGAAGAACGAGUGUGAGAAUGGAAAGUUCAUGCUGUGACGGUACUUAACCAGAAAGGGACGGCUAACUACGUGCCAGCAGCCGCGGUAAUACGUAGGUCCCGAGCGUUGUCCGGAUUUAUUGGGCGUAAAGCGAGCGCAGGCGGUUAGAAAAGUCUGAAGUGAAAGGCAGUGGCUCAACCAGUGUAGACUUUGGAAACUGUUUAACUUGAGUGCAGAAGGGGAGAGUGGAAUUCCAUGUGUGACGGUGAAAUGCGUAGAUAUAUGGAGGAACACCGGUGGCGAAAGCGGCUCUCUGGUCUGUAACUGACGCUGAGGCUCGAAAGCGUGGGGAGCGAACAGG